UUUCCGUAGGUGAACCUGCGGAAGGAUCAUUAGUGAAUUUUGGGUGUCUCUUCCACAGAGAGCCCGUCUUCCACUUUUAAACCCCGGUCGUUCCUUGGGUCUUCCCUUGGUUCGAUAAGGAAUUUUUUUAACACAAGUCAAAGAAUGUAACUUUCAAAGUUUUAAAUAACCAAAUAAAACUUUCAACAACGGAUCUCUUGGCUCUCACAUCGAUGAAGAACGCAGC
rnacentral:misc_RNA from 1 species